rnacentral:rRNA from 1 species
UACGUAGGGACCAAGCGUUGUCCGGAAUCAUUGGGCGUAAAGAGCGUGUAGGCGGCUUGUUAAGUCUUGCGUGAAAUCUCGGGGCUCAACCCCGAGCGGUCGUGAGAAACUGGCAGGCUCGAGUGCGGCAGAGGAGACUGGAAUUCCUGGUGUAGCAGUGAAAUGCGCAGAUAUCAGGAGGAACACCAAUAGCGAAGGCAGCUCGCUGGGACGUUACUGACACUGAGGCGCGAAAGCGUGGGGAGCGAACAGG